UUGAAGAGUUUGAUCCUGGCUCAGAUUGAACGCUGGCGGCAUGGCUAAAACAUGCAAGUCGAGGGAGAAGCCAUCUUCGGAUGGUGGAAACCGGCGAAAGGGCGAGUAACGCAAUCGAACGUACCCCGAGGUGGAGGAUAAUUCAGGGAAACCUGUCGUAAUACUCCAUGUGCUCUCCGGAGGAAAGCUUCGGCGCCUUGGGAGCGGCGAUUGUCCUAUCAGGUUGUUGGUGAGGUAAAGGCUCACCAAGCCAAAGACGGGUAGCGGGUGUGAGAGCAUGACCCGCCGCAUCGGGACUGAGACACUGCCCGGACUCCUACGGGAGGCUGCAGUAACGAAUAUUCCGCAAUGCGCGAAAGCGUGACGGAGCAAUGCCGCGUGCAGGAUGAAGCGGUUCUGCCGUGUAAACUGCUGUCAGGGUCUAGGAAGAACUGACCAGACCCAGAGGAAGGGCCGGCUAAUCUCGUGCCAGCAGCCGCGGUAAGACGAGAGGCCCGAGCGUUAAUCGGAAUCACUGGGCUUAAAGGGUGCGUAGGCUGAUGUGUAGGUGUGUUGUGAAAUCCCUCGGCUCAACCGAGGAACUGCGAUGCAAACCACACAUCUUGAGAUAGGCAGAGGUUGUCGGAACGUUCGGUGGAGCGGUGAAAUGCGUAGAGAUCGAACGGAACGCCAAAGGGGUAGCCAGGCAACUGGGCCUAUUCUGACGCUGAGGCACGAAAGCGUGGGGAGCAAACAGGAUUAGAUACCCUGG
rnacentral:rRNA from 1 species